rnacentral:sRNA from 1 species
AAACAAAUUAUGCUUACACAAAUCAAACAAAAGCGAUGACUAAUAUAGACUAUCAUUAACAUGCCGUUAGAAACAAGAAUCAAAUAGCAACUUAGUCCAGACAGGAACAUUUGGAGACAUGUUUAGAUCGCUUGAAGAAGCGGCGGUUAUAGGAUGGUGGCGGAGAGAGAGCCGCCGUUGUUGUAGGAGAGGGAUCAACGGAGAGAGGGGAAAUACGGCGGAGCUUUGCAUCGUUUAGAUCUGAAAUCAAAAGUUGUUGGUGAGAGUGGAGAACGAGGAAGAAGGCGUUUUUAGAAUAAAGAUCCGGAGUCGAGAAACUGUAAUUUAAGAUUUUUUAUUGGAUUUA